rnacentral:rRNA from 1 species
AUGCCGCAAACGACGCGGCGAAGAUGCCGCAACCCCCGCGGCGAAGAUGCCGCCAUCCACCGGUCUCCCAGUCAUAGCCGGCUCCGAGACGAUGCCCCCAAGGAGGAGAAAGACGCGAAGACGCCUCCAUCGCCCGAUCCAGCGGAUCCGAGGCGCCGCCGUCACCGGCUCCGACGGAGACCGGAGCAAGGAUUUCUCCCGGAGUUGCGCCGUCCACCAUCCGCCACCGACCACCGCCUACCAACCACCACCCCUGCUGAGAGCAACCUCACUCCUGCCGCGGGAUCCCUCGAUCCACCGCAACCAGACACGCACCACCUCCCGGGCCGUAGCCGCCGCCACCACCACAUCUGGGGCCGCCGCCCUGGCAACCGAAGACCUCCACCGCGCGGCCGCCGCACGCUGCACAGCCAGAGAGGAAACCCGAGCAGGGAGGGGGGCGCCACCCCACCCCAACUCGCCGGACGAGCUGCCAGAUCCGCCGCCUCGUCAGCCGAAACACCAGCCGGCACCACCACGACACCAAGCAGGAGAACGCAGCAAGGGCCCCUCCACGACGAGCAGCAGGGGGGCCGAGCCUCCCUCGAACCCAGCACCACCGUCCGCGCCGGCCGCAGCUCACGAGGAUCCAGAUCGGGCCCGCACGGGCGCUACGACCGCGACCGCCGCUCACAACGGCGCGCCCAGCUCCGCGACCAGAUCCCGAGCCUCGCGUCGGAGACCUCCUCCACCGCGAGCCAGGACGCCGCCCCGGAGCCAAGCGCCGGCCAGCCGCCGCCCACACGCCGAAUCCCCCUCCCUCGAGCGAGCAGCAGCCAGAGAAGCGCCCCGCCGCCGCCGGCUCCGCGCAGGCUUUGCCUGCCGGAGGCCACCGGCGACGGCGAGGGGGAGAAAGGAGACGCGAGGGGCGGAGGCUACUUGGCUGGGAUCCCUCUUCCCAUGGCGCCCGCCGGCCUCUCCGGCCUGCCGGCCCACGUCCUGGACGACAUCGCCCGCCGCGUGGGGCCCCUCGACAACUACAGCUGCCCCCUCAUCUGCCGGCCGUGGGGCGACGCGCUGAACGCCGCGCGCCUCAGCCUGCUCCCACUGCCCAACAAGCCGCAGCACCUGCACGUGGAGCCUCGCUGCGACUGCCGCCGGUCGCCGUCGCCUUGGGCCAUCGACAACUGCAAGUCUCCCGGGAAAGAACCAUGGACCAAGAAGGUCUACCUCCAACGCGGCGGCAGCCCCGUCGGCGUCGCCAUGGACAGCGAGAAGGAGUCGGCACACCCGACGCGCGUCAUCGGCUGCGACUACGGCUGGGCGGUCACCGUCGACGACGCGCGCAGCCUCGCCCUGCUCGACCCGCUGCCUCCCAUCACCUCCUCCCUCGGCCGCAUCACGCAGGUCGCCAAGAACCUCAAGCCGAUGGGCGGGGGCAUGUUCCACAAGGCGGCUCUGGCCCCCGGCCGCCGGCUCGGCACGUUCGCCGUGAUGCUGAUCCACAGCGGCGGGCUGGGCCUGUCGUUCCUCGCGCCCGGCGCCGGGCGCUGGACGGCGCUGCGCGCCCCGCCGUGGAAGCCGAAGAGGUACCUUGACGUGGCGUCCCACAAGGGCGCCUUCUACACGCUGAGCGUCGGCUCGGAGCUCACCGCCUGGGCGCCGGACGGGAGCUCCACCGGCCUGCGGCCGAGGCGCGCCGUGAGCCCAUGCACAGACCCGGUGUGGGCGGUGCUCGCGGAGUCGACGACCCGGGACGAGCUUCUGAUGGUGAGCACCCCGGACACCUACGGGGGCAGACCGUACUUCGGGAUGAAGAAGACGAAGGUGUCGAGCUACGAGGAGCGCGAGGGCCGGUGGAUCCCGGCGGCGAACAAAGGGGACACGGCGAUCUUGGUGAGGGGAAACAGCGCUGUGCGUGCCGUGGCUGUACAAGCCCCGCUGCGGUAG